CCAGGCUGAGGUAGUAGGUUGUAUGGUUUAGAAUAACACCAGCAGGAGAUAACUGUACAGCCUCCUAGCUUUCCCUGG
rnacentral:pre_miRNA from 1 species